UCCCACUCCACUCUCCCACACCACCCACCCCCGAUCCAGACGAGAUCCCCUCUACCAGCAGCCUCCCCCUCCCGCUUCCAAAUCCAAAUCAUGGCACUCGCAUCUGGCACGGCCCGCCAUGACGAGCGCCUCCGAACUCUUCACCGCCCGCUGCGCCCGCGCGCCCCGCCUCUCUGACACGGCGGACCCCGGCCCGGAUCCGCUCGCCAACGCGCCCUAGGACCCGCACGGCCUCGCCGCCUGCCGCCGCCGACGGGGCUGCCGCGCGCGAAGCCAGCUCGACGCCGCCGGGGACGUGCGGCAGCACCUCCACACCGGCCCGCCACACUGUUCCAUUGUUGGAUGCAUCAAAUCUCGGAUUGAUCAAACCCAACACCCUCAUUCAGUUCCGGGGGAUGGUUCAGGACAUGCUUGGGAAUGAAUUCUAUGCUGGGGCUUUCAAGGAAGACCUCGGCCCUGAAUUCGGCGUCCACAGCCAAACCCAGGAUUUGUGAGUUCCUAGUAGGGAACACAUGGACAUGAAGCUGCGGCGGCGACGGCGAUGAUAUCGACAUGGGGCUGUGACGGCGACG